rnacentral:rRNA from 1 species
UUGUGGGAACCUUCCACGGUUUCUGCGACGCAGCUAACGCAUUAAGUGCCCCGCCUGGGGAGUACGAUCGCAAGAUUAAAACUCAAAGGAAUUGACGGGGCCCCGCACAAGCAGCGGAGCAUGCGGCUUAAUUCGACGCAACGCGAAGAACCUUACCAAGGCUUGACAUAUACAGGAAUAUGGCAGAAAUUCCAUAGCCGCAAGGUCUGUAUACAGGUGGUGCAUGGUUGUCGUCAGCUCGUGUCGUGAGAUGUUGGGUUAAGUCCCGCAACGAGCGCAACCCUCGUUCUGUGUUGCCAGCAUUUAGUUGGGGACUCACAGGAGACUGCCGGGGUUAACUCGGAGGAAGGUGGGGAUGACGUCAAAUCGUCAUGCCCCUUAUGUCUUGGGCUGCACGCAUGCUACAAUGGCUGGUACAAACGGCUGCGAUACCGCAAGGUGGAGCGAAUCCGAUAAAGCCAGUCUCAGUUCGGAUUGGGGUCUGCAACUCGACCCCAUGAAGUCGGAGUUGCUAGUAAUCGUAGAUCAGCAACGCUACGGUGAAUACGUUCCCGGGGCUUGUACACACCGCCCGUCACGUCACGAAAGUCGGUAACACCCGAAGUCAGUGGCCCAACCGUAAGGG